rnacentral:lncRNA from 1 species
GAAUGGCAUAGCUGCCGAUAGAGCUCCUUGGUGGCCUUGAUUCCUGCAGCGUAUCAUCACCAAACUCGGGGAGACAUUUAUAACCAAACUGAAAAAGGAUUCUUAGCAGGGAGACUGAAGGCUAGGGCAACGUCCCUCUUCUGUAAGCUGAUAGAAGAUGACAAGUUCAAGCAUUCACAGAAGGCUCAAGGCGGCAGACUUUCAGGCUCUAAGGUUUGUACUCCGGAGAUGGCUCAUUGGCAAAGUGCUUGCUGCACAAUUAGGAAGACUGCAAUUCAGAUCUGCAGUGCCCACAUAAAUACUGGAAUACCCAAGAUACAAGAUACAAGUUACACAACACAUGAAACUCAAGAAGAACGAAGAACGAAGACCAAAGUGUGGACAUUUUGCCCCUUCUUAGAAUUGGGAACAAAACGCCCAUGGAAGAAGUUACAAGGACAAAGUUUGGAGCUGAGACAAAAGGAUGGACCAUCUAGAGACUGCCACACCCGGGGAUCCAUCCCAUAAUCAGCCUCCAAACGUUGACACCAUUGCAUACGCCAGCAAGGAAAGAGAGGCCCAUUGGACUUGCAAACUUUAUAUGCCCCGGUACAGGGGAAUGCCAGGGCCA